rnacentral:ribozyme from 1 species
AGUAAAAUUUCACUGGUAAGGGAUGGAUCUGAAAACCUAUCGAAAAUCAACAAAGGCUCUCCAUAUUCUACUCCGACUCAAUAGAAGUCCCCGACGUAUAGAACGGUAACCUGUCUCACUAAAUAUCUGAGCUUGGGUAUAUGGAGAAACCCAACCCUUGGGAAGAUGGGCGGCUAGCUUCCUUUCUAUCCU